rnacentral:rRNA from 1 species
UACGGGGGGGGCAAGCGUUGUUCGGAAUUACUGGGCGUAAAGGGUGCGUAGGCGGCUCUCUAAGUUGGAUGUGAAAACUCUGGGCUCAACCCAGAGCCUGCAUCCAAAACUGGAGAGCUAGGGUUCUGGAGGGGAAAGCGGAAUUCCUGGUGUAGCGGUGAAAUGCGUAGAUAUCAGGAGGAACACCGGUGGCGAAGGCGG